CCUACGGGGGGCAGCAGUGGGGAAUAUUGGGCAAUGGGCGCAAGCCUGACCCAGCAACGCCGCGUGAAGGAAGAAGGCUUUCGGGUUGUAAACUUCUUUUCUCAGGGACGAAGAAAGUGACGGUACCGGAGGAAUAAGCCACGGCUAACUACGGGCCAGCAGCCGCGGGAAGACGUAGGGGGCAAGCGUUAUCCGGAUUUAGUGGGUGUAAAGGGCGGGUAGGCGGGAGCGGAAGUCAGAUGGGAAAACUCAGGGCUCAACCCUGAGCCUGCAUUUGAAACGGUGUUUCUUGAGUGCUGGAGCGGCAAUCGGAAUUCCGUGUGUAGCGGUUAACUGCGUAGAUAUCCGGAGGACCCCCAGUGGCGCAGGCGGCUUGCUGGACCGUAACUGACGCUGAGGCGCGCAAGCGUGGGGAGCAAACAGGAUUAGAUACCCUGGUAGUC
rnacentral:rRNA from 1 species